UCGUGAUGAUGAUGAUGAUGAUGAUGAUGAUGAUGAUCGUAAUUAUCAUCAUCAUCAUGAUCAUCAUCACGUUUU
rnacentral:miRNA from 1 species